rnacentral:rRNA from 1 species
AUUGAACGCUGGCGGCAGGCCUAACACAUGCAAGUCGAGCGGGACGGCGGACGGGCGGGUGAUGCCUAGGAAUCUGCCUGGCUGUUGGGGGUAACGUCCUGCCACAGGCGCUAAUUCCUCAUGCUAUCAGUUCAACGUAGGUGGGAUUAGCUAGUUGGUGGGGUAAGGGCCUACCAAGGCGACGAUCCGUACCUGGUCUGAGAGGAUGAUCAGUCACACUGGAACUGAGACACGGUCCAGACUCCUACGGGAGGCAGCAGUGGGGAAUAUUGGACAAUGGGCGAAAGCCUGAUCCAGCCAUGCCGCGUGUGUGAAGAAGGUCUUCGGAUUGUAAAGCACUUUAAGUUGGGAGGCGUUACCAGCAGAAGAAGCACCGGCUAACUUCGUGCCAGCAGCCGCGGUAAUUC